rnacentral:rRNA from 1 species
GACGAACGCUGGCGGCGUGCUUAACACAUGCAAGUCGAACGGUAAGGCCCUUCGGGGUACACGAGUGGCGAACGGGUGAGUAACACGUGGGUGAUCUGCCCUGCACUUCGGGAUAAGCCUGGGAAACUGGGUCUAAUACCGGAUAGGACCACUGCCUGCAUGGGUGGUGGUGGAAAGCUUUUGCGGUGUGGGAUGGGCCCGCGGCCUAUCAGCUUGUUGGUGGGGUGAUGGCCUACCAAGGCGACGACGGGUAGCCGGCCUGAGAGGGUGACCGGUCACACUGGGACUGAGAUACGGCCCAGACUCCUACGGGAGGCAGCAGUGGGGAAGAUUGCACAAUGGGCGCAAGCCUGAUGCAGCGACGCCGCGUGAGGGAUGACGGCCUUCGGGUUGUAAACCUCUUUCAGCACCGACGAAGCGCAAGUGACGGUAGGUGCAGAAGAAGGACCGGCCAACUACGUGCCAGCCGCCGCCGUAA